rnacentral:tRNA from 1 species
CAAAUUAGGGCCGGAUAGGUAUUUUAUUUACAUUAAAAGGGUAGUUGUUAAAAUCAAUUUAGUUUGA